UUGAACGCUGGCGGCAGGCCUAACACAUGCAAGUCGAACGGUAACAGGAAGCAGCUUGCUGCUUCGCUGACGAGUGGCGGACGGGUGAGUAAUGUCUGGGAAACUGCCUGAUGGAGGGGGAUAACUACUGGAAACGGUAGCUAAUACCGCAUAACGUCGCAAGACCCAAGAGGGGGACCUUAGGGCCUCUUGCCAUCGGAUGUGCCCAGAUGGGAUUAGCUAGUAGGUGGGGUAACGGCUCACCUAGGCGACGAUCCCUAGCUGGUCUGAGAGGAUGACCAGCCACACUGGAACUGAGACACGGUCCAGACUCCUACGGGAGGCAGCAGUGGGGAAUAUUGCACAAUGGGCGCAAGCCUGAUGCAGCCAUGCCGCGUGUAUGAAGAAGGCCUUCGGGUUGUAAAGUACUUUCAGCGGGGAGGAAGGGAGUAAAGUUAAUACCUUUGCUCAUUGACGUUACCCGCAGAAGAAGCACCGGCUAACUCCGUG
rnacentral:rRNA from 1 species